UACGGAGGGUGCAAGCGUUGUCCGGAUUUAUUGGGUUUAAAGGGUGCGUAGGCGGGUCUGUAAGUCUGGUUUGAAAGUCAGCGGCUCAACCGUUGAGGGUGGCUGGAUACUGCAGGUCUUGAAAUUGUUGGAGGCAGCCGGAACGGAUCGUGUAGCGGUGAAAUGCAUAGAUAUGAUCCAGAACACCAAUUGCGUAGGCAGGCUGCUACGACUGAUUUGACGCUGAGGCACGAGAGCAUGGGGAGCAAACAGG
rnacentral:rRNA from 1 species